CAUAGGGGUGCUUAACCACUGGGCAACACCUCCAGUCCUUUUAAAUUUUUUAUUUGAGACAGGGUCUGGCUCAGUUGCUUAGGGCCUCAUGAAGUUGCAGAGCCUGGCCUGAAAUUUGUCAUCCUCCUGCUUUAGCCUUCGGAGUUGCUGGGAUUACGGGUGUGAGCCGCUGCGUGAGAUUAGAGUGAAUCCUUGAUAUAAUGAACAGGGAGACGCUGGCGGAGGGGACUUGUUGGAGAACACACAGCUGGCUGGGGAGACCGCCAGGACCACAGGACCAUGGGACCACGGGACCACGGGACCACGGCCAUGAUUUCAAAGCAACUUUUCAAUUGUAUCAUAAAAUCACAGCCCCAACAUGCCCUUCCACCACCAUUGCCACCUUCAUUAUGGAAAUCAGACAGGAGUUCACCUCUCCUCCUUGGCACGAAAUGUUAGCAACUGAAUGUGAUGCACACUGUCACAAUAAACGUGCAAGGCCUUCAACCCGGGCUCCCCUAACACAUGCAAAUUUUCAUUCAAGACCCUUUGUGCUGGCCUACACACUCCCCUCCCCACAAUCUGGGGCUACUGCUGUUUUGCAUAUCUUUUGCAUUGAUUUGCAUAAUGGACUCUGGAGGCUCUAAUUCCAAAUAUCUAAGAGAGACUAAAACGAAAAUCUAGCUUGACAUGCUUAAAAUGUGGAACCAAUUUUUAAAACGUGUCAGAAUAAGGGUAGGUGUUGGGGAUGGAAGCCCACAGAUUGACAGAUGCCCAGAUGUCGCAGGAAGACUUCCUUCUUCCUAGAAUUCCACUGCAUACGUGAUCUCAGGAGCCAAGGGAAGGAAAGGGACUCCUUCUCGUGUGUUUAUUUGGUUGGCUGCCUGUACUCCAUAGUGGGCAUGACAUUUGCAUCUGGCAAAGGCAAUUGGUAAAGAAAAAAAUGUCUAGUAUUGUUUAAUACACCGAGCAAUUCCUAUGUGCCACGUACUACUCAAAGGUAACCUGCGUGGACAUACUUAAUCCUCUAGCAACCUGAUGAGGCAGGUACUAUUACUAGGUCCCUGUUACAAUUGAGAGAAAGAAGCCAGAGGGGUAGAGGAACCCAUUCAUGGUCACACAGCUGGGGAAUGGCAAGCUGGGAUUCGAACCUGGGAAGUGUAGCCCCGGAGUCUACACUAUCAACCACUUCACUUACCAAGCCUGCUCUGCUGUCCCACCCCUCUGCCCCCUCAGGAUGCUCCGCACAGUCAAAAGUAAUGAUCUACAAUCUUUGGUAAUUAUUUUCCCCUGCUGGUCUCUUCUCUCUUACCUAUUUCCUUCUAUCUUGAUUCCAGGGCUUCAUUUGACACAUUUGAUAUUCUUUUAAAUAAUUUCAUUAAUUAGCUUUAUUGUGCAUGUAUGGGGGUGGGGGUGGGGAAGCUUGUAUCAGGACAAUAAAAGCAUCAGAAACCCCUGCUUUAAUUCACUCCUCUUUCCCAAUCCUGACAUCUCAUGCAUGCCUUUGUUUGGGAGAAGAAAAAUUACUUACAUAAAUUAAAUUUUUCUUAAAAUUGCUUUUACACACAGACACACACCAUAUUUGAUCCAUGGAUAAUUCAUAAAAAUAGAAAAUCUAUCUCAUUUCCUUGCAAUUUUAAAUAUCUUCUUGUGAGUAGAUCCUCCUUUCACAUUAAACUAAGUUUCUACUGCAA